CUACGGGAGGCUCCAGUCGAGAAUCUUCGGCAAUGGACGAAAGUCUGACCGAGCGACGCCGCGUGCGGGAUGAAGGCCUUCGGGUUGUAAACCGCUGUCAGAGGGAAGGAAAUUUUGACCGAUCCUCAAAGGAAGUACGGGCUAAGUUCGUGCCAGCAGCCGCGGUAAGACGAACCGUACAAACGUUAUUCGGAAUCACUGGGCUUAAAGGGUGCGUAGGUGGUCUAUUAAGUUGGGUGUGAAAUCCCUCGGCUCAACCGAGGAACUGCGCUCAAUACUGGUAGACUUGAGGGAGAUAGAGGUGAGCGGGACUGACGGUGGAGCGGUGAAAUGCGUUGAUAUCAUCGGGAACACCUGUGGCGAAAGCGGCUCACUGGAUCUCUUCUGACACUGAGGCACGAAAGCUAGGGGAGCGAACGGGAUUAGAUACCCCAGUAGUC
rnacentral:rRNA from 1 species